AUUGAACGCUGGCGGCAGGCCUAACACAUGCAAGUCGAGCGGCAGCGGAAAGUAGCUUGCUACUUUGCCGGCGAGCGGCGGACGGGUGAGUAAUGUCUGGGAAACUGCCUGAUGGAGGGGGAUAACUACUGGAAACGGUAGCUAAUACCGCAUAACGUCGCAAGACCAAAGAGGGGGACCUUCGGGCCUCUUGCCAUCAGAUGUGCCCAGAUGGGAUUAGCUAGUAGGUGGGGUAACGGCUCACCUAGGCGACGAUCCCUAGCUGGUCUGAGAACGUGACCAGCCACACUGGAACUGAGAGACGGUCCACACGCCUACGGGAGCCAGGAGUGGGGAAUAUUGCACAAUGGGCGCAAGCCUGAUGCAGCCAUGCCGCGUGUAUGAAGAAGGCCUUCGGGUUGUAAAGUACUUUCAGCGGGGAGGAAGGUAUUGAGGUUAAUAACCUCAGCAAUUGACGUUACCCGCAGAAGAAGCACCGGCUAACUCCGUGCCAGCCGCCGCAGUAACAC
rnacentral:rRNA from 1 species